GAGGAUCCGUUGUUCCAACCCAGGGAGAAAAUGCGGCCUUUGACUGAAGAAGAGACCCGUGUCAUGUUUGAGAAGAUCGCGAAAUACAUCGGGGAGAAUCUUCAGCUGCUGGUGGACCAGCCCGAUGGCACCUACUGUUUCCAUCUGCACAACGACCGGGUGUACUAUGUGAGUGAAAAGAUUAUGAAGUUGGCCGCUAAUAUCUCUGGGGACAAGCUGGUGUCGCUGGGGUCCUGCUUUGGAAAAGUCACUAAGACCCACAAGUUUUGGUUGCACGUCACAGCCCUGGAUUACCUUGCACCUUAUGCCAAGUAUAAAGUGUGGAUAAAGCCUGGUGCAGAGCAGUCGUUCCUGUGUGGGAACCAUGUGUUGAAAUGUGGUCUGGGUCGAACCACUGAAAAUACUUCUCAGUACCAGAGCGUGGUGGUGUACUCCAUGGCAGACAUCCCUUUGCAUUUUGGGGUGGCAGCAAAAUCUACACAAGACUGCAGAUUGUGGUAUUUCAUCAGGCAGACUUUGGGGAAUAUGUGCGGCAUGAAGAGACGUUGACUUAAAACGAAGUCAUUGCAAGGACAGGCGGCUGUAUGUAAGGGCCAGCUUUGUUUCCUGUGUUUGUGUGGACUCCACCAUCAUGUUGAAUUUUGUCAACACUCUGACCUCUUCAGGGACUUCUUAUUUACUGUACUCUCUAUCAUUGACAAAUGCAGGCUGGAUUCUUAUUGUAUACAGAGAUGGCUCAAAAAUGGGGUUUCAGAUCUUUGUGUUUGUGAUGAAAUAGAAUACUCUGUUUCAUAUUUGAAUCAGAGGGCUUCUUGUUCUGAGAAAUAGGUUCAAAAUCACUGGAACUAGGAACAAGAAUAGCUUAUUGUUAUCUGUGAUAACACUUUUUUUUCUAAACUCAUGAUAAGAACACAGGGAUUGUCUUUUUUAUUAAUAUGCAAGUUAGUCAUUUCCAUAACAGAAUAAUAAACCACAUGUGGGGUUUUAAAAAUGAAAUUUGUCUAAAAUAAUAAGAGCAAUUCAGCUAUUUUUCUAUACAGUAAUUGGUGUGUGGUAUGGAAGAAAAACAGAUUCAAACCCCACUUCUGCCAUCUACCAGCUAUAUGGCCUUGAGUGAGUCAUUCAGCUUUAAUAAAGUUCACUUUCUUCUCUUUAAAAAGACACGAAACU